rnacentral:rRNA from 1 species
CCAAUAGCGUAUAUUAAAGUUGUUGCAGUUAAAAAGCUCGUAGUUGAAUUUCGGGAUCGACGGGUCGGUCGCGCCUCUGGUGUGUACUGGCCCUGUCGGUUUCUCCCUUCUGAAGAACCGCGAUGUCAUUAAUUUGGUGUCGUGGGAAAUCAGGACUGUUACGUUGAAAAAAUUAGAGUGUUUAAAGCAGGCAUUCGCUUGAAUACAUUAGCAUGGAAUAAUGAAAUAGGAUGUUUGAUCUUAUUUUGUUGGUUUCUAAGAUCGACGUAAUGAUUAAUAGGGAUAGUUGGGGGCAUUAGUAUUCAAUUGUCAGAGGUGAAAUUCUUGGAUUUAUUGAAGACUAACUACUGCGAAAGCAUUUGCCAAGGAUGUUUUCAUUAAUCAAGAACGAAAGUUAGGGGAUCGAAGACGAUCAGAUACCGUCGUAGUCUUAACCAUAAACUAUGCCGACUAGGGAUCGGAUGAUGUUAAUUUUUUAAUGACUCAUUCGGCGCCUUACG